GGUUUGGGAGGAGAGGCGCGCACAUCAUUGGCACUAGUUUUCAAUAUCGUAAGUGUAGAUUACAUCUUAGUUAGGGUUCAAUUCUCAAUCUUCAUUUCCCAUUCCCUGGCCUUUGCAGUUCCUAGUUCCUACUACUGUGACCUUAAUUCUCGGGUUUCUUCUGAGUGAGCAGAAGGAUUUCAGCAUUGGAGACCAAAUCGUUGCAGGAUAAUCCCAGAGAGUGUGAUCUAUAGUUAUGGAACUGUUCUUCUGGAUCUUCUAAGUGGCAAGCAUAUUCCUCCAAGC